GAUGAACGCUGGCGGCGUGCCUAAUACAUGCAAGUCGAGCGAACGGACGAGAAGCUUGCUUCUCUGAUGUUAGCGGCGGACGGGUGAGUAACACGUGGAUAACCUACCUAUAAGACUGGGAUAACUCCGGGAAACCGGAGCUAAUACCGGAUGAUAUUUUGAACCGCAUGGUUCAAAAGUGAAAGACGGUCUUGCUGUCACUUAUAGAUGGAUCCGCGCUGCAUUAGCUAGUUGGUAAGGUAACGGCUUACCAAGGCAACGAUGCAUAGCCGACCUGAGAGGGGGAUCGGCCACACUGGAACUGAGACACGGUCCAGACUCCUACGGGAGGCAUCAGUAGGGAAUCUUCCGCAAUGGGCGAAAGCCUGACGGAGCAACGCCGCGUGAGUGAUGAAGGUCUUCGGAUCGUAAAACUCUGUUAUUAGGGAAGAACAUAUGUGUAAGUAACUGUGCACAUCUUGACGGUACCUAAUCAGAAAGCCACGGCUAACUACGUG
rnacentral:rRNA from 1 species